rnacentral:rRNA from 1 species
CUUAAAUUGAAGAGUUUGAUCAUGGCUCAGAUUGAACGUUGGCGGCAGGCCUGAUACAUGCAAGUCGAACGGUAACAGCGGAGCUUGCUCCGGCUGACGAGUGGCGGACGGGNGAGUAACGCGUAGGAAUCUGCCCAGUAGUGGGGGAUAGCCCGGGGAAACCCGGAUUAAUACCGCAUACGCCCUACGGGGGAAAGGCCGGGAUCUUCGGACCGGUCACUAUUGGAGGAGCCUGCGUUGGAUUAGCUAGUUGGUAGGGUAAAGGCCUACCAAGGCUACGAUCCAUAGCUGGUCUGAGAGGACGAUCAGCCACACUGGAACUGAGACACGGUCCAGACUCCUACGGGAGGCAGCAGUACGGAAUAUUGUCCAAUGGGCGCAAGCCUGAGACAGCCAUGCCGCGUGUGUGAAGAAGGCCCUAGGGUUGUAAAGCACUUUCAGCAGGGAGGAAAANGGCCGGAUUAAUACCCCGGNUUUUUGACGUUACCUGCAGAAGAAGAUCCGGCUAACUCCGUGCCAGCAGCCGCGGUAAUACGGAGGGAUCGAACGUUAAUCGGAAUUACUGGGCGUAAAGCGCACGCAGGUGGUUUGUUAAGUGGGAUGUGAAAGCCCCGGGCUUAACCUGGGAACUGCAUUCCGAACUGACGAACUAGAGUACGAUAGAGGGGGGUAGAAUUCAGAGUGUAGCGGUGAAAUGCGUAGAUAUUCUGAGGAAUACCGGUGGCGAAGGCGGCCCCCUGGAUUG